rnacentral:misc_RNA from 1 species
AUGAAAAUAAAUUAAAGUUAAGGAAUUUUAUUUUAACAAAUUAAAGUUCAAGGAUGGAAAUGAAAGUAGCCCCUAAGUUCAGGGACGGUUUGUGCAAUUAAACCACCAUUUGCAGGUAUAGCACAACAGUCUUCUCUACAAGCAGGCUUGUUUAGGUGAUAUGCAACAUUCGCGCGCAUGUGUGGAAGAAGACUACUCAAGCUUCACAAUGCAGUUAGUAAAACUACAACAGUGCAAAGAUCAAAUAAGUUUAAAAUUUGCAAAUCUUUUCCCUACUUUCUCAAACUACAAAACUGCAUCCAAGUAAUGACAACAAUAGCAAAGUUAACAACUAAUCCUCAGUUCAGUUGCGACGGAAAUGCCAACAAUUGGAUAGAAAUUAGGAUUUCAAAACUACCAAUUCUGAUUAUAUCUUCCUGGCAUAAUAACAGCGCCUUCCAUUGAACUAAGCCAAACUGAGAUUUGCAUGGCAAUGCU